rnacentral:tRNA from 1 species
AAGGGCAUAGUUUAAAGGUAAAACAGAGGUCUCCAAAACCUUCGGUGUGGGUUCAAUUUCUACUGUCCUUGCCA